CAGCCGCCGCGGUAAUACGUAGGUGGCAAGCGUUGUCCGGAAUUAUUGGGCGUAAAGGGCUCGCAGGCGGUUUCUUAAGUCUGAUGUGAAAGCCCCCGGCUCAACCGGGGAGGGUCAUUGGAAACUGGGAAACUUGAGUGCAGAAGAGGAGAGUGGAAUUCCACGUGUAGCGGCGAAAUGCGUAGAGAUGUGGAGGAACACCAGUGGCGAAGGCGACUCUCUGGUCUGUAACUGACGCUGAGGAGCGAAAGCGUGGGGAGCGAACAGGAUUAGAGACCCCUGUAGUCCCUGUCUCUUAUAC
rnacentral:rRNA from 1 species